UACGGAGGGGGCUAGCGUUGUUCGGAAUUACUGGGCGUAAAGCGCACGUAGGCGGCUUUGUAAGUUAGAGGUGAAAGCCCAGGGCUUAACCCUGGAAUUGCCUUUAAGACUGCAUCGCUAGAAUCGUGGAGAGGUGAGUGGAAUUCCGAGUGUAGAGGUGAAACUCGUAGAUAUUCGGAAGAAACACCAGUGGCGAAGGCGACUCACUGGACACGUAUUGACGCUGAGGCACGGAAAGC
rnacentral:rRNA from 1 species